UAUGGCAAGCAGGAGUCUUGCGGUUUCAGACUCUCAAUUCUGAGUUGGUGGGCCCACCUGCUCUGAGCUGGCUUAGAGGAGAAGGAAGAGUAGCUGCCCGCCAGGAUACUGGAGCCUGCAGUAUAGGGUUGCGUCACUGUUUCGGUUGGUAGCGGUGAUGGAGACUAAAGCACAGCUGGAAAAGUAAAAAGAUGGCGGGGCUUUCUUGGCUUUGCCCGCCCAGCUGUUCCAUGCCAGGAGAAGGAAGAGCCAUCUGCUGCAUGAUGGAGGCUGGAGCCUGUGGCACCAUGGCUCGCCUCACUGAGAUGGGUGGCAGUGACAGAGACUGCUGAGCGCCGGAGAGGACAACCAAGUCCCUAUAUGUCUCCUCUGGACAGCAUGGGUGAAAUCUUCUAAAAGACAACAAUUGUCAAAACCUCCUCACCAUGACAGCAAGCAAGGAGGAAGGACCCUGAAGACUCUCAAUGGCCCUUUUCAGCAGGAAGUAGCUACAGAGGAUGAUGUCUGCCCCAUCUCUCAAAAGAUUUCUGGGUCCCAACCACUUGAGGGAGAAUGUAAGAGGAGUAGACAGUCAGAUAUGAGCAGGCACAAGGGGGAGGUAUCCAUGUUGGAAAGAAUCCCCCAGAACACCUCUUUGGAUGCUCAGUACUCCAUCUUCAAACUGUCAGAAUGUUGUUAACUAGAUUAUGAUAAGGAAAAAAGAGGCAAAGUGAAAUUCCUGAGAGCUGAGCAGGCACAAUGAGUACAAAAUUGACUGCUAUACCUUCCCAGGGUGGUGGUAUUAUGCAAUGCCACCAUUAGGUAGGAUUCAUGUUGAUUAAUGUUUCCCAUGUAUGUGCAUUAAGCACAGUAAGGGAGGAUCCCCCGAAUUUUGGUGAGAACUGGGCAAAGAAAUAACUGAGACAAUAUUAGAUAACAAUGCAGAAUGUCAUGGGGAUGUUUCCAGGAGGGUCAGCCCCCUCCUCUCUUGGAGUGUAUUUGUACUUUCCCAAUAAAA